ACUUACAUUAAUUAUUAAGUGGACAUGUGGCAAAAGCUAAGUGAUGAUGUGUCAUUCAUAUAAAGAGAGUUGGCCAACUUUCAUAUAUAUGAUUACACCACAUAUAGAUAAU
rnacentral:sRNA from 1 species